GACAGAGGGUGCAAACGUUGUUCGGAAUUACUGGGCGUAAAGCGCAUGUAGGCGGCCUAGCAGGUCGGAUGUGAAAUCCCUCGGCUCAACCAAGGAAGUGCAUUCGAAACCGCAAGGCUGGAGUCCCGGAGAGGAUGGUGGAAUUCUCGGUGUAGAGGUGAAAUUCGUAGAUAUCGGGAGGAACACCAGUGGCGAAGGCGGUCACCUGGACGAACACUGACGCUGAGACGCGAAAGCGUGGGUAGCAAACAGG
rnacentral:rRNA from 1 species